AAUUUGUAGAAUUACUCGUGGAACUUGAAUAAAGUAGAUUAGGUCUGAAGCUUAAGUACAAUUGGAAGAAGUCACAACUUAGAGCUUUAUAAGAUGAUAAAUGUUGGAAUAAAAUUGAGGGCCCCUUAUCAAUGGAAAAAAUUAUUUGUGGACAGCUCCUAUGGAUCUGUAAGGAGGAAAAUAUUUGGGAGGGCACUGCUUUGAGUCGGAGAAACAUAAUGUAGGGUUUUCUUUACUGUUAUAUGGUUAUAACCUAUAAAACUAAAGGGAGACACUAUUAUGGCUAU
rnacentral:lncRNA from 1 species